AGCUGGGGAGCUACCACAACAGACGGAAGAACCAGAUCCAAUGAUAUGUGUAAGAAGAAUAAUUUCAGUGCAAUUGAAAGAACAGAUGCACAAUUGACUCUGUCAAGUGAUGGAAUGACCCGUCUCAAAUAAAGCCAAUGAGGCUGGAGUGCAGUGGCAUGAUCACAGCUCACUGCAGAUUUGAUCCCCUGGGGUCAGGAGGUCCUGGUACUUCAGCCUCCCGAGUAGCUGAGACAGACGACUACAGGGGAGAAGAGGAGACAUGGAAUGAAGAUUGGUUGACUGCUAAGUAUGUAUCAGACAUUUGGAUAUCUCAUCUCAUUCAACCCUUGUAGCCAUCCUGAGAAGUUUCAUUCACAACAGAGAAGUCUGGAGUGGAGAAACACAUCCCACAGCCAUGCCAAAGAUGGUAGAACUGCAGGGCCUGCUAGACCUCACAGUGCUCUCCUCUUCCUGGACAUACUGCCAGGCCACCUUACCCAGUUCCUUGCAUCUAGGUGGGGCCAUAUGACUACUUCUCAAGCAAGGAGUGUAAGUACAAGGGACAUGUGUGACCUCCACCAAGACGCUGAGAAUGUGUUUGCCUGCUCCACGCUUGCUCCUGUCAGCUGGCCAGCCACAGAGGAUCUAGCAGAGGACUCCAAAGUCCUAGAGAAUGGUGGAACCACUUCACUUAAGGAACCUGGGUCCCUGAAUGGCUUCAUGGAGCAGAGUGUUCCUGCUCAUCUCCUUCAAAUGAGGUGAUAUAAAUGGGAAUUUUCACUGUGUUAAGCCACUGAGAUACAGGGCUUGUUUAUUACAGCAGCAAGUUUGCCCUGCUGACACAAUCAACGUAACUACAGAGCCCAUGCCAUCACAAUUGCACUGUGACCUGAGGCUUCAAGAAGGAGGAGAGAUUUAGGCCAAGUCAUGAAGGCUUGGAGAUAUAAACCUUUACCUAGAGCUUUCCUUUUAUGUGUUGGGAGAACUCGAUCCUGUUUGAAGAAAACAAUCUGCAAUAAAAAUUUGCUUUAAGAUCA
rnacentral:lncRNA from 1 species